rnacentral:rRNA from 1 species
AGAGUUUGAUCAUGGCUCAGAACGAACGCUGGCGGCAGGCUUAACACAUGCAAGUCGAGCGCCCCGCAAGGGGAGCGGCAGACGGGUGAGUAACGCGUGGGAAUCUACCCUUUUCUACGGAAUAACGCAGGGAAACUUGUGCUAAUACCGUAUAAGCCCUUCGGGGGAAAGAUUUAUCGGGAAAGGAUGAGCCCGCGUUGGAUUAGCUAGUUGGUGGGGUAAAGGCCUACCAAGGCGACGAUCCAUAGCUGGUCUGAGAGGAUGAUCAGCCACAUUGGGACUGAGACACGGCCCAAACUCCUACGGGAGGCAGCAGUGGGGAAUAUUGGACAAUGGGCGCAAGCCUGAUCCAGCCAUGCCGCGUGAGUGAUGAAGGCCCUAGGGUUGUAAAGCUCUUUCACCGGUGAAGAUAAUGACGGUAACCGGAGAAGAAGCCCCGGCUAACUUCGUGCCAGCAGCCGCGGUAAUACGAAGGGGGCUAGCGUUGUUCGGAAUUACUGGGCGUAAAGCGCACGUAGGCGGACAUUUAAGUCAGGGGUGAAAUCCCAGAGCUCAACUCUGGAACUGCCUUUGAUACUGGGUGUCUAGAGUAUGGAAGAGGUGAGUGGAAUUCCGAGUGUAGAGGUGAAAUUCGUAGAUAUUCGGAGGAACACCAGUGGCGAAGGCGGCUCACUGGUCCAUUACUGACGCUGAGGUGCGAAAGCGUGGGGAGUAAACAGGAUUAGAUACCCUGGUAGUCCACGCCGUAACGAUGAAUGUUAGCCGUCGGGCAGUUUACUGUUCGGUGGCGCAGCUAACGCAUUAACAUUCCGCCUGGGGAGUACGGUCGCAAGAUUAAAACUCAAAGGAAUUGACGG